CGCGGUGUGGAGAAGAUGGUAUCUCACAAGGCUCAUAACCUUGUAGUCGCAGGUUCGAGUCCUGCUGCCGCAA
rnacentral:tRNA from 1 species